rnacentral:rRNA from 1 species
UACGGGGGGGGCAAGCGUUGUUCGGAAUUACUGGGCGUAAAGGGCUCGUAGGCGGCUAACUAAGUCGGACGUGAAAUCCCUCAGCUUAACUGGGGAACUGCGUCCGAUACUGGAUGGCUUGGAUUUGGGAGAGGGAUGCGGAAUUCCAGGUGUAGCGGUGAAAUGCGUAGAUAUCUGGAGGAACACCGGUGGCGAAGGCGGCAUCCUGGACCAAUAGUGACGCUGAGGAGCGAAAGCCAGGGGAGCAAACGGG